rnacentral:rRNA from 1 species
UAAGCGGAGGAAAAGAAACCAACAGGGAUUGCCUCAGUAACGGCGAGUGAAGCGGCAAAAGCUCAAAUUUGAAAUCUGACACCUUAGGUGUUCGAAUUGUAAUUUGAAGAGGCAACUUCAGGUAGGAUCCAGUCUAUGUUCCUUGGAACAGGAGGUCAUAGAGGGUGAGAAUCCCGUUCUUGGCUGGAAAUUUCUGCUAGUAUGUAGUGCCUUCUACGAGUCGAGUUGUUUGGGAAUGCAGCUCAAAAUGGGUGGUAAAUUUCAUCUAAAGCUAAAUACUGGCGAGAGACCGAUAGCGCACAAGUAGAGUGAUCGAAAGAUGAAAAGCACUUUGAAAAUAGAGUCAAAAAGUACGUGAAAUUGUUGAAAGGGAAGCGCUUGAGACCAGACUCAGCCAUUGGCAAACAACUGUCCUUCAGGAUUGUGCACUUGCCUUGGGCUGGGCCAGCAUCAGUUAGGAUGGUAGGAGAAAGGUUGGGAGAAUGUGACUCCAACUUGGAGUGUUAUAGAUUCCAGCGUCAUGCUACCUAUUCUGACUGAGGACCGCGCUUCGGCUAGGAUGCUGGCGUAAUGGUCUCCAGCGACCCGUCUUGAAACACGGACCAAGGAGUCUAACAUCUAUGCAAGUGUUUGGGCUACACCCCCUCACGCGUAAUGAAAGUAAACGGAGGUGGGAAGCCUGUAAAGGCUGCACCAUCGACCGAUCCUGAUGUCUUCGGAUGGAUUUGAGUAGGAGCAUAGCUGUUGGGACCCGAAAGAUGGUGAACUAUGCCUGAAUAGGGUGAAGCCAGAGGAAACUCUGGUGGAGGCUCGCAGCGGUUCUGACGUGCAAAUCGAUCGUCAAAUUUGGGUAUAGGGGCGAAAGACUAAUCGAA